GCGGGCGUAGCCCAAUGGUAAGGCAGUAGCUUCCCAAGCUACCUACGGGAGUUCGAUUCUCCUCGCCCGCUCCA
rnacentral:tRNA from 1 species